GGAAGGUUGUCCGAGCUGGCCGAAGGAGCACGCCUGGAAAGUGUGUAGGCGUCACCAGCGUCCCAAGGGUUCGAAUCCCUUACCUUCCG
rnacentral:tRNA from 1 species